GAACAGAAGAGGACGUCAUAACUCCACCUUACAUCUGAUUGUUGUGGCAGUGAAAUCAACAAUGAUAAUAAAUAUCAUCAGGGUGACUCUGGUGGUCGUGAUGACGAUUCCUUUGUUUUGUCUGUGGAUGAGGAAGAAGAAAACUCUGAGCUCCACCACCGAACCAGAUGAACCAAUAGAGACUAUAGAGUUGGAGUCUGAUUCUGAUUAUACCAACAUCUCAGCCUUGAAACAAAACAAAACUGUGUGUGACUUUCUUUUGAUGCCAUCAAACCAGAGGGGACUCACCUAGAUGGAAACAGAGAGAAGUACAACUGGAAGACUAGAAAGGUGCUAUACAAGUACAGAGCAUUUAACAGGGGACAGCUGCGGAGAAUGAGGUGGAUGGUGGCAGAGAUGGAUACAUUUUCAUCUUUAGUUUUUAUUAGCAGCAUGUAGCAGAACAUUUAAGUAGAAGCUUUAUUUUUACCUGUGCAGGUAGAUUACAUAUGCUCAGGAUGGAACUUAGUUUAAUUUAUUGUUAUUCAAAAUUUUAAUGCAAUAAAUUUAUUUUAAGACAUAAAAACCAGUCCAACCAGUCCCUGGCUCAAGCAACACAAUCUCUAAUCUGCACUCAUACAUGUUUGCUGUGAUUGGCAACUUCAAAACUGUCAAUGCAACUGCAAAUGCAUUCUCCUCACUUCUCUU